rnacentral:rRNA from 1 species
UACGUAGGGUGCAAGCGUUGUCCGGAAUUAUUGGGCGUAAAGAGCUCGUAGGCGGUCUGUCACGUCGGCUGUGAAAACCCGAGGCUCAACCUCGGGCCUGCAGUCGAUACGGGCAAACUAGAGUACUGCAGGGGAGACUGGAAUUCCUGGUGUAGCGGUGAAAUGCGCAGAUAUCGGGAGGAACACCGGUGGCGAAGGCGGUUCUCUGGGCCUUACCUGACGCUGAGGAGCGAAAGCGUGGGGAGCGAACAGG